rnacentral:rRNA from 1 species
AAAGGUUUGGUCCUGGC